rnacentral:rRNA from 1 species
CUUACGGGAGGCAGCAGUGGGGAAUUUUGGGCAACGGGGGCAACCCUGAUCCAGCCAUGCCGCGUGAGUGAAGAAGGCCUUCGGGUUGUAAACCUCUUUCGGCUGGGAAGAAACCGACGUGGCUAAUACUCUGUGUGAAUGACGGUACCGCUACAAGACACCACCGGCUUACUACGUGCCAGCAGCCGCGGUAAU